CUACUUCCGGGUAGACCAAUGGAAACCGAUGUAAGGAGGAAUCUUAAUGCCAUAGAAAACUAAACCGAAUGUUUCCGUAAUAGCAAAUGCAUGCUUCUGUAUUUUUGGGGCUAUUACUAUUUUUACAAGGUAUAGUUUUAUUCUUAGAUAUUUAUAUUUUCCACUGUCUUUGCCUGUGAUAAAACUACGUAAUGAUUUUGUACUAUAUAACCCAUAGUACAAAUGAAGCCAAACCGAGGCGCCAGUGGGGUUUGCUUAUUUAUAUUUAUAUAUAUAAUCGUACGAUGGCUUGAAAUUAUAUAAAUAUAAGUAAUAAGGAAGCAUUCAUUGGACUUUAUUGGAUUUGAUCACGCCCUGACCGAUAUUAUCACCUCAUAAUACUCAAAGAAUGAUUCCUUAUAUAGUUCUCGUUUAAUGAAAAAAAGGUUUCCAUAUUAUGCUGUAUCGCUUUUUUGGCCUAUCCAUGAUAUGUUCAGUUUUAAAAAUAAUUGUUUUACAGUUCAUGUUUUGACAUUUAGGUAUUUUCACCAUCAACGAAAACUUUGGAGCCAUAGAAACACUGACAAUAUUGUUAAAUUACGUAAUGCAGAACUCACGAAGCAUUCAUUUGGUUGAUGUCGACUUUAUUACUUUUGUUUUUGUUAAAACGGGAGUGACUUUUCAAUUAAUAAUUAUCUUAAGGCAAAGGUAUAUUUCAUUAUUUAACAAUUGACAAAAUUCCGAGAUUUGUUACUUUUAUCCUUAAUAUUCAUUGGAAUUGGUUGUUUAAAACAUGAUUUUUCAUUUAGAUUACCAAAAAUUUAAGCCCCGGUACACCGUAUGAAACAAAUAUAUAGUUAGGACGCAUCAUUUAAAGAAUUUAUAUCUUUGUUUCAUGCAGUGUAGGCACCUUUCUAGAUCUUGGCCUUAAGUUACAAUGAGAAAAAAAAAUAAAUCACAUUAAAAAAUAUAUUCAAAUGCCCUAAACAGUUGAGAAAAAAAUGUAAGUUAAUUUGUGUAUACCUUUU
rnacentral:sRNA from 1 species